AGUGGCCUUGUGGAUAAGGCAUCAGCCUCUGGAGUUGGGUAUUGUGGGUUCAAGUCCCAUCU
rfam:Danio rerio chromosome 4, GRCz11 reference primary assembly.